rnacentral:rRNA from 1 species
UGCAAGUCGAACGAGAGCGACCGGUGCUUGCACUGGUCAAUCUAGUGGCGAACGGGUGAGUAACACGUGGGUAACCUGCCCAUCAGAGGGGGAUAACAUUCGGAAACGGAUGCUAAAACCGCAUAGGUCUUCGAACCGCAUGGUUCGAAGAGGAAAAGAGGCGCAAGCUUCUGCUGAUGGAUGGACCCGCGGUGCAUUAGCUAGUUGGUGAGGUAACGGCUCACCAAGGCCGUGAUGCAUAGCCGACCUGAGAGGGUGAUCGGCCACAUUGGGACUGAGACACGGCCCAAACUCCUACGGGAGGCAGCAGUAGGGAAUCUUCCGCAAUGGACGCAAGUCUGACGGAGCAACGCCGCGUGAGUGAAGAAGGUUUUCGGAUCGUAAAACUCUGUUGUUAGAGAAGAACAAGUGCUAGAGUAACUGUUAGCACCUUGACGGUAUCUAACCAGAAAGCCACGGCUAACUACGUGCCAGCAGCCGCGGUAAUACGUAGGUGGCAAGCGUUGUCCGGAUUUAUUGGGCGUAAAGCGAGCGCAGGCGGUUCCUUAAGUCUGAUGUGAAAGCCCCCGGCUCAACCGGGGAGGGUCAUUGGAAACUGGGGAACUUGAGUGCAGAAGAGGAGAGUGGAAUUCCAUGUGUAGCGGUGAAAUGCGUAGAUAUAUGGAGGAACACCAGUGGCGAAGGCGACUCUCUGGUCUGU